AUUGCCCAGGUGAACUAUGUAAAUGUGAAUCACUAUAGCCCAGGUCUAAAGCAGUGGGUAUUCUGGAUAAACCCUGAAAUCAUUAGGGAGCUUUAAAAUAUGCUAAUGCCUAAUUCUUAUUCACAGAUGUAUAGGCUUAAUUAGGCUAAAGCUGGCCCCCAGCACAAGUAGUUUUUAAAUCUCUGCAGGUGAUUCUAAUACACAUGCUGAUUUUUCAACCAUUGGAGUGCUUACCUCCCUACCUAGAGUGAUUGUUUCAGAUGUAGGAAUUCAAUCUAAUUCAACCUAUGAAAGGCUAACCCUGAACAUUUGUCUGAUCUGAGGAAAAGAUAAACUCUCUUUCAAGCUGGAAGUGAAGCUAUAGAAUUUAGAGCAGCUGUACACCUCUGAGGAUGAGUAUCAUACCUGCCUACGUGGAAGAAACAGAACUGAGGAGAGAGAUGGAGUAAAACAGGUGGAGUCUUUACCACCAGCACCACCUGGGAAGCCCUCUGACUCAAUACAUUUACUUUAUAAUUGAGAAGACUAAGGACUACAGUGGAUUGGAGAAGAGCUCCCUGCAAGUGAGGAUCAAGGAUGGUCAACAGGACUGGACACAGAACAGCAAGAAUAGAACCCAGUGCAUCCAUAGAAUACUCGCACUUGCCUAUUUGCAAUUGUCUUCAUCUCAUUGAUAUUUAUUUUUUUCCAUUAAGUGCUUGGAUUUUUUUAAGAUAUUUGAGUUCUGAAGUUCAUAACCAUUUACUAAGUUUGCAAUCUAAGAAAAAGUAACAACCUGGUAGAUGAAUAUACAACAAAUGGAAAUCUUUGAUCAAAUAAAUUUAAGUGCUUUUUAA